AGGUACUGAGCAGAAAGCAAUCAGAGACAAUGCAGAUAAAUUAUAUGAUGCAAAUAUUAUUACUAAGAUUUUGAAAUUUGCAGCAACACUGCUUGUUAUUGGCCAUUUUCAUUAAGGAUUUCG